GACGAACGCUGGCGGCGUGCUUAACACAUGCAAGUCGAACGGAAAGGCCCUGCUUUUGUGGGGUGCUCGAGUGGCGAACGGGUGAGUAACACGUGAGUAACCUGCCCUUGACUUUGGGAUAACUUCAGGAAACUGGGGCUAAUACCGGAUAGGAGCUCCUGCUGCAUGGUGGGGGUUGGAAAGUUUCGGCGGUUGGGGAUGGACUCGCGGCUUAUCAGCUUGUUGGUGGGGUAGUGGCUUACCAAGGCUUUGACGGGUAGCCGGCCUGAGAGGGUGACCGGCCAAAUUGGGACUGAGAUACGGCCCAGACUCCGACGGGAGGCAGCAGUGGGGAAUAUUGCACAAUGGGCGGAAGCCUGAUGCAGCAACGCCGCGUGCGGGAUAACGGCCUUCGGGUUGUAAACCGCUUUCGCCUGUGACGAAGCGUGAGUGACGGUAAUGGGUAAAGAAGCACCGGCUAACUACGUG
rnacentral:rRNA from 1 species